ACGGAAGGCAGCAGUGAGGAAUAUUGGUCAAUGGACGUGAGUCUGAACCAGCCAAGUAGCGUGAGGGAUGACGGCCAUAUGGUUGUAAACCUCUUUUGCGAGGGAAUAAAGUGCGUCACGUGUGGUGCAUUGCAUGUACCUUGCGAAUAAGGAUCGGCUAACUCCGUGCCAGCAGCCGCGGUAAUACGGAGGAUCCGAGCGUUAUCCGGAUUUAUUGGGUUUAAAGGGAGCGUAGGCGGGAAGUCAAGUCAGCUGUGAAAUGUAGUCGCUCAACGUCUGCACUGCAGUUGAAACUGGUUUUCUUGAGUGCGUAAGAGGCAGGUGGAAUUUGUCGUGUAGCGGUGAAAUGCUUAGAUAUGACGAAGAACUCCGAUUGCGAAGGCAGCCUGCUGGGCCGCAACUGACGCUGAAGCUCGAAGGUGCGGGUAUCGAACAGGAUUAGAUACCCUGGUA
rnacentral:rRNA from 1 species